UAUCAACAGGCAACCCAACUUCGGCUUGCAGGGCUUCCUUCAAAAGAGGCUUUGCAUCCGUCACCUAACAAUCACCAAUCCUAAAUUUGUUAUCGCUGGCCAGAAGGAUGGUAAGAACAGAAAGAAAAUCAAUGUUUAUUGUUCUAAAGAUCUUACAGUGGUAGCAUCAAAUUUGACAUUGAUGUAUUUGUCUGUAGAUGGAUUCCACUCUUGCACAUCCAUGCCAUUUACAAUUCCGAUGAUUCCAGUCAUCCGAAGUAUGUUCUCUAAUUCCACACCUUUCUCCACGCCGGAUACAAGUUCCUCAGCAUAGUAUGGGCUCACAGUUACAACCCUGUCUGAUUCUGAUAUGCCAGCCUUCAUCCAGUUAAUCUUCCUUCCUUUCACAGGUUUGUCAUAUCUGCAAAAUUUUUUUAAGAAAAAAGUGUCAUGAACUGUAUACAUCUAACAGGAACUAGGAGUAUCUAAAGUUUUAGUACCCAUCAAUAAAAUCAAAAGAUCUCUUGAACUGGUCUGGAAGAUUUAGAAGUGAAAAAUCUGCAAUUGCAAAUCUCCCUUGGUAGGCAAUGUUGUGAAUGCAGAAAGCUACCUGGAAGCAUUAUGAAGGGUUAAGUGAGCUUUCCAGCAACUGGAAAGAUA
rnacentral:lncRNA from 1 species